UACGGAGGGUGCAAGCGUUAUCCGGAUUUACUGGGUUUAAAGGGUGCGUAGGUGGGCAGUUAAGUCAGUGGUGAAAUCUCCGAGCUUAACUCGGAAACUGCCAUUGAUACUAUCUGUCUUGAAUGUUCCGGAGGUGAGCGGAAUAUGUCAUGUAGCGGUGAAAUGCUUAGAUAUGACAUAGAACACCAAUUGCGAAGGCAGCUCACUACGGGAUUAUUGACACUGAGGCACGAAAGCGUGGGGAUCAAACAGG
rnacentral:rRNA from 1 species